AUUGAACGCUGGCGGCAUGCCUUACACAUGCAAGUCGAACGGCAGCACGGGAGCAAUCCUGGUGGCGAGUGGCGAGCGGGUGAGUAAUAUAUCGGAACGUGCCCAGUCGUGGGGGAUAACGUAGCGAAAGCUACGCUAAUACCGCAUACGAGCUAUGGAUGAAAGCGGGGGAUCGCAAGACCUCGCGCGAUUGGAGCGGGCGAUAUCAGAUUAGGUAGUUGGUGAGGUAAAGGCUAACCAAGCGGACGAUCUUUAGUUGGUCUGAGAGGACGACCAGCCACACUGGGACUGAGACACGGCCCAGACUCCUACGGGAGGCAGCAGUGGGGAAUUUUGGACAAUGGGCGCAAGCCUGAUCCAGCAAUGCCGCGUGCAGGAUGAAGGCCUUCGGGUUGUAAACUGCUUUUGUACGGAGCGAAAAGGCUUCCACUAAUACUGGGGGCUCAUGACGGUACCGUAAGAAUAAGCACCGGCUAACUACGUGCCAGCCGCCGCAGUAAAAC
rnacentral:rRNA from 1 species